CUGUAUUUAUUUUAUAUUUUCUUUUUUCUUCGUUCUCCCUUCUCACUCUUCUCCUCAACUCAGCUGGCGACGACGACCAACCAACAAAAAAAAGCCCUCGAUUGGUGUUUUUGGUUCCUCUCUAAAAUCCCCCCUCUAUCUCUUUCGAAAAUUCCUCGCCGCUGCUCUCUCCAUGAUGGUUCAAUUCGGGUUUGCUUAAAUCCUAUGACGAUGAACAAUCACAAGAAGGUAAAAUAAGUGAAGAAGAAAGUUAUUGAAGACAAGUAUGCUUAAGCAAAUCAAACAAUUUGUGCUUUUUUUACUGUAGCUCUAUAUAUGGAAUUGGAAUUAUUUUCA